AUUGAACGCUAGCGGGAUGCUUUACACAUGCAAGUCGAACGAGUGGCGGACGGGUGAGUAAUGUAUCGGAACGUGCCCAGUAGAGGGGGAUAACUACUGGAAACGGUGGCUAAUACCGCAUACCAUCGGAGCGGCCGAUAUGGGAUUAGCUAGUUGGUGGGGUAAAGGCUCACCAAGGCGACGAUCCCUAGCUGGUUUGAGAGGAUGACCAGCCGCACUGGGACUGAGACACGGCCCAGACUCCUACGGGAGGCAGCAGUGGGGAAUAUUGGACAAUGGGGGAAAGCCUGAUGCAGCCAUGCCGCGUGUAUGAUGAAGGCCUUCGGGUUGUAAAGUACUUUCAGCGGGGAGGCGGUAUCUGCAGAAGAAGCACCGGCUAACUACGUGCCAGCAGCCGCGGUAAUAC
rnacentral:rRNA from 1 species